UACGAAGGGGGCUAGCGUUGCUCGGAAUCACUGGGCGUAAAGCGCACGUAGGCGGCUUCUUAAGUCAGGGGUGAAAUCCUGGAGCUCAACUCCAGAACUGCCUUUGAUACGGGGAGGCUCGAGUCCGGGAGAGGUGAGUGGAACUGCGAGUGUAGAGGUGAAAUUCGUAGAUAUUCGCAAGAACACCAGUGGCGAAGGCGGCUCACUGGCCCGGUACUGACGCUGAGGUGCGAAAGCGUGGGGAGCAAACAGG
rnacentral:rRNA from 1 species